CAUGGCUCAGAUUGAACGCUGGCGGCAGGCCUAACACAUGCAAGUCGAGCGGAUGAGAAGAGCUUGCUCUUCGAUUCAGCGGCGGACGGGUGAGUAAUGCCUAGGAAUCUGCCUGGUAGUGGGGGACAACGUUUCGAAAGGAACGCUAAUACCGCAUACGUCCUACGGGAGAAAGCAGGGGACCUUCGGGCCUUGCGCUAUCAGAUGAGCCUAGGUCGGAUUAGCUAGUUGGUGAGGUAAUGGCUCACCAAGGCUACGAUCCGUAACUGGUCUGAGAGGAUGAUCAGUCACACUGGAACUGAGACACGGUCCAGACUCCUACGGGAGGCAGCAGUGGGGAAUAUUGGACAAUGGGCGAAAGCCUGAUCCAGCCAUGCCGCGUGUGUGAAGAAGGUCUUCGGAUUGUAAAGCACUUUAAGUUGGGAGGAAGGGCAGUAAGUUAAUACC
rnacentral:rRNA from 1 species